AUUUAUAUAGUUUAAAUAAAACAUUACAUUUUCAUUGUAAAAAUAAAAUAAAUAAAUUUUUAUAAAUA
rnacentral:tRNA from 2 species